AGUGAACGCUGGCGGUAGGCCUAACACAUGCAAGUCGAACGGCAGCACAGUAAGAGCUUGCUCUUACGGGUGGCGAGUGGCGGACGGGUGAGGAAUACAUCGGAAUCUACUUUUUCGUGGGGGAUAACGUAGGGAAACUUACGCUAAUACCGCAUACGACCUACGGGUGAAAGCAGGGGAUCUUCGGACCUUGCGCGAUUGAAUGAGCCGAUGUCGGAUUAGCUAGUUGGCGGGGUAAAGGCCCACCAAGGCGACGAUCCGUAGCUGGUCUGAGAGGAUGAUCAGCCACACUGGAACUGAGACACGGUCCAGACUACUACGGGAGGCAGCAGUGGGCAAUAUUGGACAAUGGGCGCAAGCCUGAUCCAGCCAUACCGCGUGGGUGAAGAAGGCCUUCGGGUUGUAAAGCCCUUUUGUUGGGAAAGAAAAGCAGCAGGUUAAUACCCCGCUGUUCUGACGGUACCCAAAGAAUAAGCACCGGCUAACUUCGUG
rnacentral:rRNA from 1 species